CUCUUUUUUCCCCCACAGGCAGAGUUGACCGUUCCAUUUUUUUCUGUCUACCACCGCUCUCGAAUGGAGGUUGUCUCCGCUCUCAUCUAGUCUAGUGUAGAAAGUAAAAUUUCUCUUCGCUUCCAGGAAUUCACCGAAGUUAGAUCGCGAACUCUCCCCCUCGAGUACAAAUGGAGCUUCAAUUGGAGAAAUGGGAACUGCAGUUCGAUUUGGAGGAUCAUGUCGGCCGGCCGGCCGAAAGAUUGUGAGCCGCUGAGGACCAUUCGAUCGGACCCGGAGCUCGAGUUUUGCGGCGAUUAUUGGGGCUAAUAGCCGGCGGUCUGCCGAUCGUGUACCUACAGAAGAUAGAGGGACUGGUGCCUGGUGUUGUUGCGCAUCGGCAAGGACUCUGCCAAGAAUUGGAAGGACAAAAGAUAAGUGUUAGAAUUGAACCUGCCAAUAUGAUGAUACAACUACUUCACUGCGGGCCAGUCUUAUACCCCUGAGAGGUAUGAAAAUUUCGAUAUGCGAUAAUCAUAGAACACACGGGGAAAGUUGGCUCGGCCGCUAGAAUCAUGAGUACCACAGAUGUCGUCGCGGCCAUCUAGGUCAUCCGAUUUUUGAAUUAACACUCUUGGCUGACAUGUCAUUGCUCUUGUUUGCAGGGAUAAUCAUAGAACACACCGGGAAAGUUGGCU